rnacentral:rRNA from 1 species
UACAUGGGGUGCAAACGUUGCUCGGAAUUAUUGGGCGUAAAGCGCACGUAGGCGGUUCGUUAAGUCGGAUGUGAAAGCCCUCGGCUCAACUGAGGAAGUGCACCCGAAACUGGCGAGCUUGAGUACGAAAGAGGAUCGCGGAAUUCCCGGUGUAGAGGUGAAAUUCGUAGAUAUCGGGAGGAACACCGGUGGCGAAGGCGGCGACCUGGUCCUUGACUGACGCUGAGGCGCGAAAGCGUGGGGAGCAAACAGGAUUGAGAAACCC